CCUACGGGAGGCAGCAGUGAGGAAUAUUGGUCAAUGGACGAGAGUCUGAACCAGCCAAGUAGCGUGAAGGAUGACUGCCCUAUGGGUUGUAAACUUCUUUUAUAUGGGAAUAAAACGUUCCACGUGUGGGAUUUUGUAUGUACCAUAUGAAUAAGGAUCGGCUAACUCCGUGCCAGCAGCCUCGGUAAUACGGAGGAUCCGAGCGUUAUCCGGAUUUAUUGGGUUUAAAGGGAGCGUAGGUGGAUUGUUAAGUCAGUUGUGAAAGUUUGCGGAUCAACCGUAAAAUUGCAGUUGAAACUGGCAGUCUUGAGUACAGUAGAGGUGGGCGGAAUUCGUGGUGUAGCGGUGAAAUGCUUAGAUAUCACGAAGAACUCCGAUUGCGAAGGCAGUUCACUGGACUGCAACUGACACUGAGGCUCGAAAGUGUGGGUAUCAAACAGGAUUAGAUACCCCUGUAGUC
rnacentral:rRNA from 1 species